UUCACAUCAACCCUGGUAUUCGACAUCAAAACGACCAUAACCUACAAAAGCACCACCAACCACGAAAGUGUCUAUUCCAGAAUUAUUCCGCCCAAAAUCCUGAAAAUCCUUCUCCUUUCGACGUCCCCGUCGCAACGCCGGAAUAUAACGACGCCGGCAGCGUCGGCGGUACUUUAAAUUGUAUGAAACAUACAUGAGUUCUGCCCCCUUCUGAAUAAUAUGCCGGCCUUAGUUUACAAAUGAAUACAGCUAUUGAACUUACUUAUAAUAUCAAUGCGACGGGGCGUCCUUGUCUGUAGCCUGGCGACGCCUGGCGUCGCUCUCUUUCCUCUGGCCUCUUUUCGACGUUCGCCAUACAGAAUGGCCAUAUUAACUUGAUAAUUAGGUGUGUUAUCGGACUUGCAGAUGAGCCGCGGAUGGAAUAAAAAGUAUUUGCCCCCUCUUUGAGCCACGUCUGAUGGCAGGGUUUUGUAUAAAAUUCGGGAGGGUGUCAGUGAUGGCACACUUUGAUGCCGACCGCGACGCGAGGCGUCUUAGCUCCACGACGUCUUCGUCGGCGUGUUGUCGGUGCACCAGGUAGUCCAGGUUGUCAACUUCAUUGUUUGAUAGUUGGAGAAUUGAGUGAUCGGAUUUGUGUAGGUGUUGGAAGAGUUUUGUGUUCAUAGGAUAGAUCCUAAGAUUUGAUUAUCUGAGAAUUGUGUUCAAAAAUUUGAACUUGAAACUUGUUGGAUAUGCAGAGGGCGCUAGUGUGGAAUUUGUGACUUCUGAAUCAACUGAUAUUUCAACAUGAGCAGUUUCGUCCCUUAAUCCUGAAAGGCCUACACUUCAUCCCAGCAGAUUCUAAAUGAACUUCUGAUAGCUUGAGACAAGCAGAUACUCCUCAAGAAUUCAACAUCCACAUGUUAUAAAAUUCAAUUCACCAAUUCCUAUUUUGACAAUUCGUAUUUCUAUGUUCGACAAAAUUAUUCUAUCAAUAAAUUGUUGUGGUGCUAA